rnacentral:rRNA from 1 species
AGAUUGAACGCUGGCGGCAGGCCUAACACAUGCAAGUCGAGCGGUAGCACAGAGAGCUUGCUCUCGGGUGACGAGCGGCGGACGGGUGAGUAAUGUCUGGGAAACUGCCUGAUGGAGGGGGAUAACUACUGGAAACGGUAGCUAAUACCGCAUAACGUCGCAAGACCAAAGAGGGGGACCUUCGGGCCUCUUGCCAUCAGAUGUGCCCAGAUGGGAUUAGCUAGUAGGUGGGGUAACGGCUCACCUAGGCGACGAUCCCUAGCUGGUCUGAGAGGAUGACCAGCCACACUGGAACUGAGACACGGUCCAGACUCCUACGGGAGGCAGCAGUGGGGAAUAUUGCACAAUGGGCGCAAGCCUGAUGCAGCCAUGCCGCGUGUAUGAAGAAGGCCUUCGGGUUGUAAAGUACUUUCAGCGAGGAGGAAGGCAUUGUGGUUAAUAACCGCAGUGAUUGACGUUACUCGCAGAAGAAGCACCGGCUAACUCCGUGCCAGCAGCCGCGGUAAUACGGAGGGUGCAAGCGUUAAUCGGAAUUACUGGGCGUAAAGCGCACGCAGGCGGUCUGUCAAGUCGGAUGUGAAAUCCCCGGGCUCAACCUGGGAACUGCAUUCGAAACUGGCAGGCUAGAGUCUUGUAGAGGGGGGUAGAAUUCCAGGUGUAGCGGUGAAAUGCGUAGAGAUCUGGAGGAAUACCGGUGGCGAAGGCGGCCCCCUGGACAAAGACUGACGCUCAGGUGCGAAAGCGUGGGGAGCAAACAGGAUUAGAUACCCUGGUAGUCCACGCCGUAAACGAUGUCGACUUGGAGGUUGUUCCCUUGAGGAGUGGCUUCCGGAGCUAACGCGUUAAGUCGACCCCUGGGGAGUACGCCGCAAGGUUAAAACUCAAAUGAAUUGACGGGGGCCCGCACAAGCGGUGGAGCAUGUGGUUUAAUUCGAUGCAACGCGAAGAACCUUACCUACUCUUGACAUCCACGGAAUUUAGCAGAGAUGCUUUAGUGCCUUCGGGAACCGUGAGACAGGUGCUGCAUGGCUGUCGUCAGCUCGUGUUGUGAAAUGUUGGGUUAAGUCCCGCAACGAGCGCAACCCUUAUCCUUUGUUGCCAGCGGUUCGGCCGGGAACUCAAAGGAGACUGCCAGUGAUAAACUGGAGGAAGGUGGGGAUGACGUCAAGUCAUCAUGGCCCUUACGAGUAGGGCUACACACGUGCUACAAUGGCGCAUACAAAGAGAAGCGACCUCGCGAGAGCAAGCGGACCUCAUAAAGUGCGUCGUAGUCCGGAUUGGAGUCUGCAACUCGACUCCAUGAAGUCGGAAUCGCUAGUAAUCGUAGAUCAGAAUGCUACGGUGAAUACGUUCCCGGGCCUUGUACACACCGCCCGUCACACCAUGGGAGUGGGUUGCAAAAGAAGUAGGUAGCUUAACCUUCGGGAGGGCGCUUACCACUUUGUGAUUCAUGACUGGGGUGAAGUCGUAACAAGGU